UACAGAGGUGGCAAGCGUUGUUCGGAAUUACUGGGCGUAAAGGGCGCGUAGGCGGCCAUCUAAGUCAGACGUGAAAUCCCCCGGCUUAACCUGGGAACUGCGUCUGAUACUGGACGGCUUGAGUAUGGGAGAGGGAUGUAGAAUUCCAGGUGUAGCGGUGAAAUUCGUAGAUAUUAGGAAGAACACCGGUGGCGAAGGCGGCCCACUGGAUCGGUACUGACGCUGAGGUGCGAAAGCGUGGGGAGCAAACAGG
rnacentral:rRNA from 1 species